CUGGCCAGCUUUCAGUGAGCCAUGGGAGUGAGAGCAUGUGUGGCCGGAGGCUCGGUGCACAAACCUUUUGGAAUGAGACAGCAGUGCAGUGGGAUUGGUGACAGUGUAUCAACUGGACCUGCAUUGGUGUAGCAGCCUCAAUCUAAAGUGUACUAAAAGAUUAUUCCACAGCAAGCCAAAGUAGAGGUAUGUGAGACAGCUCGUCGGAUAAAGAUAAAGAUGCCUCCAAGGCUACUGGGACCCACAUGGAGGAAGGAGAGAACCAAAAUGGCUCCUUCAAGUUAUACUCUGGUUUCAUACUUACAAUGUGUGCCGUGCAGGGCCGGUCAUGUUGGCGUUCGCCUUUAGUCCCAGCACUCAGGAGACAGAGGCAAACAGAUCUCCAGUGAGUGUGUGAUCUCAAGUGAACCCAUAGUGAGUUCAAGGCCAGCCUGGUCUAAUAAUGAAUCCCAGGAGAGUCUCAAACAAAAACAAAAGGCAAGAGCUGGGUGUGGUGGAGCAUGCCUUUAAUCCCAGUCAGCACUCCAGAGGCAGAGAAAUAUCUAUCCACAUGUAUUCAAGGAGUGUAGGUGUCCAUGUCAGAAUAUCCUGAGCCCACGCCUUCAAAACAGACGACUUCAUCCUCUUCGGUCUAAGGAUGACAAAGCUGCCAUCUGUUAAUCCAAUCUGCAUCAGGAAGAAAAGAAACUCACUUCACCAUGUGAAAGCCCCUCUCCCACUCCACCACAGGGGAAUUUCCCAGGGUCUCACCGGGGCAGAACAGCCACCGGAACUUGUGCCCAUCCUGGCUCCUUGCAAACCAGGAAAGGAGAAUUGUGUCUGAGGAUGCUGAGUAAAUCAUGGGACGCCAUGGGAAGACGAGAAGCAGGCCCAGGAAUUUGUCAGAAAGCCGAGUGUAGACAGCCUGAGAAAUGCUUCCCAAGUCACAUUGUACCCAGAGCCGGCUUGUGAGGUUGCCGCUCAGGAGCAGCUAACUGUUCACCUCGCCCCCAUGACACUGACUGAUCAUACAUUCACCCAGAUGCCGCUCCUCGCCAACCUUUCCAGACUUCUUUUGUCUGUUUCUUUUUUGUUUUGUUUUUGAGACAGAGUUUCUCAGUGUAGCCUUGGCUGUCCUGGAACUCACUCUGUAGACCAGGCUGGCUACAAACUCACAGAAAUCCACCUGCC